rnacentral:rRNA from 1 species
GCAGGCUUAACACAUGCAAGUCGAGCGGUAGCAGUCCUUCGGGAGCUGACGAGCGGCGGACGGGUGAGUAAUGCAUGGGUAUCUGCCCGGUAAUGGGGGAUAGCCCGGGGAAACUCGGAUUAAUACCGCAUACGCCCUACGGGGGAAAGCAGGGGAUCUUCGGACCUUGCGUUAUCGGAUGAGCCCAUGUCGGAUUAGCUAGUUGGUGGGGUAAGGGCCUACCAAGGCGACGAUCCGUAACUGGUCUGAGAGGAUGAUCAGUCACACUGGAACUGAGACACGGUCCAGACUCCUACGGGAGGCAGCAGUGGGGAAUAUUGGACAAUGGGGGCAACCCUGAUCCAGCCAUGCCGCGUGUGCGAUGAAGGCCUUCGGGUUGUAAAGCACUUUCAGUCGGGAGGAAAGGCGCAGCGCUAAUAUCGCUGUGAGUUGACGUUACCGACAGAAGAAGCACCGGCAAACUCCGUGCCAGCAGCCGCGGUAAUACGGAGGGUGCGAGCGUUAAUCGGAAUUACUGGGCGUAAAGCGCGCGUAGGCGGUUGCUUAAGCGAGAUGUGAAAUCCCCGGGCUUAACCUGGGAAUGGCAUUUCGAACUGGGCGACUAGAGUUUUGGAGAGGAGAGUAGAAUUCCCGGUGUAGCGGUGAAAUGCGUAGAGAUCGGGAGGAAUACCAGUGGCGAAGGCGGCUCUCUGGCCAAAAACUGACGCUGAGGUGCGAAAGCGUGGGGAGCAAACAGGAUUAGAUACCCUGGUAGUCCACGCUGUAAACGAUGAGCACUAGCCGUUGGACUCCUUAGAGGGUUUAGUGGCGUAGUUAACGCGCUAAGUGCUCCGCCUGGGGAGUACGGCCGCAAGGUUAAAACUCAAAUGAAUUGACGGGGGCCCGCACAAGCGGUGGAGCAUGUGGUUUAAUUCGAAGCAACGCGAAGAACCUUACCUGGUCUUGACAUCCAGAGAACUUUCCAGAGAUGGAUUGGUGCCUUCGGGAA